AGUAAUACUUAGCGAUAAGUAAUGGCAGCAGGUGAUGACGUAAGCGAUUCCUAGGUCCCUGGGAGGAGCCUACGGAAUUGCCUGUUAGCCAACACCCUUACAUUUAAUGAACGCACAGUCUUAUCUGUGAAAUUUCGUACAAUUAUGCUUCACUCCCCUCCCACCACGGACCCAUUGUCCUACCCACCCACAGUGUGUCCUGGGAGUCCUCGUUAGCACACAACUGGAAGUUAGCAGCGCCCACCACCUAAAACAAGAACUCAAGAAGGCUACUGUGAUUUACCUGUUUGUAGUUCUCAGUUGCUAAGAAGCAGUCAGAGACCCUUAGGCCUUGUGACCAUGAAACUUGAAGGAAAGUUCCAGAACUCUAUUUCUCCUCUUCUGUCGAAUGCUGAUGGCCCCUCCCAUUUGCACAGUACUUUACAAAUUAAGAAGCACUUUGAGCAUUGCCGCGACAGGUUCGUAGCUGUGUUUAACGUAGCCUGACUGUGCACUGGUGUCUGUGCUAGGUCACUACAUACCGUCUCAGUCACGCCUUAAAGAUAACAUAAUCUAGGUUUAGACAGAGUAAAUAACUCUAUCGAACUCCCGAGGAUAAUCCAAGGGGAAUUUCAAUCCAGUGUAUCUGACUUUAAAGUCCCUGCUAUUCUUACCCCCCACCCCCACCCCGAGCUAGGGACCGAACCCAGGGUCUCGCGCUUGCUAGGCAAGCGCUCUACCACUGAGCUAAAGGGGACCGAACCCAGGGUCUCGCGCUUGCUAGGCAAGCGCUCUACCACUGAGCUAAAUCCCCAACCCCAUUUGUGCGGCUUCUUGUGAAACACUUUACUGCAUAUUGUGACCUCCAUUUUACAGGAACAGAAACAGGCCAGAGAGGUUGCAUGGUCGACCUGCAGCCUCCGAGAGAGCCAGGAUUCUGAGCACUCUGAUUCUGUCUACUGUGGCCCCACCACACCAUGCCAGCCUUCAGCCUCUAAAGCGCCAGGAGUCAAAACACUCAAGUCCCCAGACAGGCUAGUUCUCGCUCAGAUCUUCGAACGUCCCGUGGCCUGCCGUGGUGGCUGCCUCUUCCACAACCGAUCGCCAGCUGCGAAGAAGGAAGUUGAAGGUAGUGAUUCCAAAACUGAUCCAAGCCUCCUCGUCACGGCUUUCUCGCCUUUGUCUUACAGAGCAAACUUGAUCUUUUCUUUUCGGAGAGAAGAAGAGCUUAAGGACAUGAAACUAAAGAUGCUGAGAGAAGAUAGGAUGAGACGCAGGAAAGCCACUUAAAUACAGGGUGGGUGAAAGACACAGCAGGAAUUACACUGCAUCUUCCUGAUGUGUAGGCAGAGAUGGCUUGUGGAGGUCAUUAGGCAAUCAGAAUUAAUAUUUUCCCCUAUAGAGAUAACAAUUUUCCUUUAUAAGGCACUCCUUGCUGGAAUGAGCUCAAAGGACAUUGUGGAUGCUGGUUAAUUACCCUACCCAACAAACAAUUUGGAAAGUAAGACAAGGAAGAGGUAAUUAUUCCCAUUUUACAGGUUAGGUGACUGAGCUACGGAAGACUUGUCCCUUUCACUCAAAACCAGAGCUGAAAAUAGCAGGCCAGCCUCCUACGAGUGUCCUUCCAUCUCCCAUGUGGAAACAGGUUUCCUAUUGGUAGAUAGCCUCUCAAGGAAGGACAUUUAGUGGCCAGAAACUACAGCUCCCAGCAGACACUGAGGGAGACAGGGCUGUGCCCCUAGUGCCCAUUUCAGAUUCCCAAAUAUGGAGAAGGACUGGGCUUUGGACAAGGAGCAGCACACUCACCCUUAACAGAGGGGGAGGAUGAGGUAAGUCUGGAAUAUUUAACUCUAUCACCUCAAUGUCUGUCUGGUGUUUGGCAUGUAGCAGCCUGAGGUUGGGAGGUUGUAAAUCUUUUGGAAAGGUCCCCCUCAAACUGUCAGUUCCAUUACACACUCUUCUCAGGGCAGGUGUGUGGUGAGGAAAGGCCAUUUGCAGAGCAUCAGACGCCUGGCUGUGAGCAGCUCAGAAAGCGCUGUUGGUGCAGGAGGCCACCAGAGGAAGAUGACCGGUCUGCUGCACAGGAGAAUCCCAGAGGCUGGGGCUGCUUGGCACCGGGGCUGAUCCAAAGACAAAUCCUGGGAAGGCAGGUGCUACUGCUUUACAGCCUUAGAGGCUGUAGAGCCCGCCCGCCCGCCCAGUGGGAAAGGCACGGAAGUGCUAUUUCUACCAUCAAACGUUCUGGCAUCAAAUGCUAAUGGAAACACUCACCUGGGCUGGAGGCGCUGGAGCCUGCCGGCCAGUGGGUGGCAACCAGAAGUCAGAGCUCUGCCUUUGGGAGGUUUAGUAGAGAUUGGGACAAAAGGAUAGAUGAAGCCAAGGGAAGGAAAAGACAAUCUAUAGAGAUGUGGCUUGUGUGUCAUCUGUCCACUGGGUACCGACCAAGCACCUACCAUGAGCCAGGUACUUGGGUCAUAGUGUGUACAUCGAAGGAAAAGACUCCUGUCCUUGAUGUCUUCUGCUAAUCCUGAUGUCCGGGGAACGGCUCUGUAGUAGAGGGAACAUCUGACUGUUGAGCCUGGGGUGAAGGCAAGGGAGGAAAAUCUGACACUGCUGAAAGAGAGUCUGGGGUGAAAUGCACACGGCUUCGGAAUGACAGACCCUUUCCUCUGAGAGUUGUAGGAAGCUACAGUUGUUUCAGUUGCAUUUGGUUUUGCGGUGUCUGACCUAACCCAGGGCCUGCGUGCACUUGGCAAACACUUUAUGAUUGGUUGAUCUUCGCCACCAGUCUUUAGUUUGUUCGAGCAUUUGAGACAGCCUCUCACUAUCUGCAUAGAUGGGUCUCACAUUUGCAAUGCUCCUGCCUCCACCUCCCUAACCCUGGAAUUACAGACAUGGGAUCUGAAUGCCCCACGGAAGCUGUUAUUCUUAAGUAGUGAUUUGGUGAGAUGCUUGAGUACUGGAGACUUUUAAAUGAGUUCAGAGGACGAUGGUGGAGUAUCCUAGAGCUGGGCUGGCUAGGAAGGCCUAACUGCAGAUCCAAUUAGCAUGAUGCGCCAGAGAGAGGCGAUCCAAUGGGAGGAACUUCUGGAGCAAUAACUGGAGGCAGAAUGGCAUAAGGCAUUUCUGGGUUGUUCUUCUGUCCAGAAGAACAUGUGCUCAGGGUGGGGGGUAGUGGAUGUUGAAACUUGACAGAGGGAAGAUUCGAAACAUAUUCGAAGCCCUUAUGUCAAAAGACUCAGGCCAACAGUAAGACUUGAAAGCUCGGGGGUGGGGGACAUCUUUUCACCAAUUUAAAUGUCCAGUCUGAGAACCUGGUCUCUACCAGAUGGUGGGUAAUGUUGUUCCCAAGAGAUUUGCUGCUUUGUUACUGAGUCUCGGAGAGGAACUAAGGUGUCUGCGUUGCACAGUUCCCGUUUACUUUGCAUAGAAAAGGCAGCCCCUGCGUAUGCUGUAAUCCACAAGGUGCGCUGCACCACUGUGGGGGAGGGGGGAUAAAGAAUCACUCCUGUCAAAGCACACAGUGUGGCUGAAUAGACAGAUGGCUUAUCGGUCAAGAAUAUUUACUGCUCUUGCAGAGGACCUGGGUUUGGUUACCAUCCCCCACAUUAGGUGUCUUAUAGUCACCUGCAACUCCAGUGCCAGGGGAUCCGACCCACUCUGACCUCCUCAGGCACCUUUAUGGAUGUGGUGCCCACAGACUCAUGCAGGCACACAUGCAUACAGUAGUCAUUGUAAGCACACUGUGCGUUAGUAGCCUCUCCUUUAUCCCUAAGAUUAAAGCCCAAAUGACCAGGUUGUAGAAGAGCAAUCGGGAAUGACGGAGGAGGAGACGAGUGAAAGGGAUGGAAAGGUCUUGCUGUCAGAUGAUGACCCUGAGCCAGAGAAAGGCUGCCGUUAUCUUGGGCCACACAGCUCCAGGCAUGUGCCUGAGCCGAAGUCCAUAUUGAGCACUUCACCCAGUGCUUUCAUUGGAACCGUCUUUCCUUUUAUUUGGAUUCUGGGAAACAAUGGCACCACUCCAACGGGCCAAAGCCAACCACAUCCAAACUAAAUGACAGUCCUCUCCAAGCCCCGUGUCUCUCUCUCUCUCUCCCAACCCUCAGCACACUGAGAAAGAAGUUUGCCCUAGCAGAGAGCAGCAGAGUGCCUGCAUGUGUGGCCCGUCACCCCAGGAAAGGGCAGGGACAGAGUGCUGCCAUUCACACCCAUGACCGAACUGGAUCCCAUGGAAGGUCUCAGUAAUAGGGAGGAGCAUAGGACAGAGGUCCCCUUGCACUGCCAUACCGAGGCUCCCCGUUCUUUCCAACAUGGAAGACCCAGAAGACCCCAAAGAGAGCCAUGGCGUUUAAUACACAUUGAGAUUUUAGAUCUGAUGCCAGUGGCACGUACCUGUAACCCCAGCACCUGGGAGGCAGGCCAGUGCCACACUGCAGACGUACAUCGACAUCACCAGACGGUGGUAGACAGGAGGCUGUGCGAACGGGAGGAUUUCACAGGUUUUUGAGAGACAAACCUGCGAUCAGUUUCCAUCAGCGCUUCCCAGAUUGAACCAAGCUCAUUGGAGGGUUUAUCCAGAAGGACAGACGUGCUAUGUCACGUCAUUUAUAGCCAGCGUCAUAUUCAUUGUCUUACCUGACAGCCUCUGUGACCUGAAUACUAAGUUAGAAAGCCACUGUUACCAGCACAGUGCCAACGAGGAGAGCGUGCUUUGCACGCGAUCAGAACGUGAACGAGUGGUAGAGGUGGAGCACGCUCGUGUCUCUGUUUACUCACUUUACCCCUCUUAGGCCCCAUCCAACCCAUCGAGUGGAAAGUAAACUUAAAAUCACAACACGGCACCGAACAGCAAGUGCAUGCUUUUCCAGCUUCUACAGUGCCCUGCCAAGGUCCUGGGUCACAGGUCCUUUGUAAACUUAACUAGCUCCAUUGUAACAAAAUUCUCCCUAUGCCUUGAUCAUCUACAGUUUCUAGAAAAAGAAAAGAACUACAUAACUUGAUGGACUGCGAUAACAACACAUACCAAUCAAUACCUUCUUAUAUUAACCCUGUGUGGUGGAUGUGCUUGGCCCAUGGGAAGUGGCACUAUUAAGUGGUGUGGCCUUGUUGGAAGAAGUGUGUCACUGUGUAGGUAAUCUUUGAGGGCUCCUGGUGCUCAAGCUCUGCCCAGGGCAGAAGAGUCAGUCUCUCCUGGCUGCCUGCAGAUCCAGAUGUAGAACUCUCAGCUCCCUCUCGGGUACCAUGUCUGCCCGGUUGCUCCCUUGCUUCCUGAUGAUGAUAAUGGACUGAACCUCUGAAACUGUAAGCCAGGGUAGUGGUAUGAAUAUGCUUGGCCCAGGAAGUGGCACUAUUAGGAGGUAUGGCCUUGUUGGAGAAGGUGUGGCCUUGUUGGAGGAAGUGUGUCACUUUGGGGUUGGGUUUGAGACCCUCCUCCCAAUGACCUGGGAGCUAGUCUUCUCCUAGUGGCCUUCGGAUGAAGAUGUAGAACUCUUAGCUCCUCCUGCACCAUGCCUGCCUGGAUGCUGCCACACUCUCACCUUGAUGAUACUGGACUGAACCUCUGAACCCGUAAGCCAGCCCCAAUUAGAUGUUGUCCUUUAUAAGACUUGCUUUGGUCAUGGUCUCUUCACAGCACUAAGACACCCUGCAUCUCUGGAAUUGCAAACUAAAACCUGGUCUGCUUUGCAUUUGCCUCUCAGCAGGGAGAAUUUUUUAAAAGCAUUAAUAUCGUGUACCUCCCUCCCACAUCUAAAAGAAAAAGGCAGAGAAAAGGAAGCAUUUUUAACCAUCCACCAUCUACCCUCUCUCACACCGUAAGGCCAUCCUUAAGCACAUUUUGAAGAAGAUCGUUUUCCAAGGAUUUGGUCACAUGUUGCUGUUGCUUAUUUACAAACUGCAUCCAAUUGUUCCCAAACUCUUUUCAUACCUUUAAAGUCAAAGUUGGACGUGGACCAGCACCAGUAAGGCUCUGGUUCAAAAUAAAGAGUAGAGGGAGGUGAUGUCACAGUCUUAAAGCUUGUCCAGGAACUCAUUUCAACGCAUCCCAGCGCAUCCUGGCGCGUCCUGUCCACAGAGCUGGUGCCCUAGGGUUGUGGGCUGCUGUACACCGAAAGCACCACAGGAGCUCUUCCUCUUCCCACGCCCUACACCCGCUUCCAUCUCCGUCUGGAUCAGCGAAGUGUUGACAACUACCUUUCGGGAAGGUGAAGGCGACUGAAGCCUGCAGUACUGACUUCAGAGAAAUGGGCAAAGCCCGUGUAAACCAGACUUUUCUAAAACUGCCCAGACCUCAAGACUAUUCGUAUUUGCCAAAAAUCACCAGAACUAUCCAAGGGAUUUUUGACAUUUCUGUUUCUAAAGCACAUCUCCGAGGAAGUCUCAUGCGUCCCCAAUGAAUAAUAAAAGACCUUUUGGCAGA